rnacentral:lncRNA from 1 species
AGAGCAUGGCUGCUGGGCAGCCAGGUCAACCGGACGGCAAGGCAGGGGUUGGCCGGGGAAGCACUGCGCCGCCCCUGCAUGCCCUGCAUCCUCGGGUCCUGGGAGGGCUGCUCAGUAACUGGAAGGAAAAUGAAACUGAAAAAGAGCAAGGGUCCCGUAGGAUUGAACACAGUUGGUGAAACUUGGGCCGUCUGCCUCAAGUCCCCGCUUGGCAAAACCACUCCCUCCUGGUGGACGCCCUCACCAUGAAGGUUAGUGCUUCUCUUUCUGAAGCUGUGUCUUCAUUCCUCUGGGCAGAGAGCCAACAGUCCUAGUUACAGAAGUGUAUAACUGGGUGCCAUGGCUCACCUAGGGUCCCAGCUACUCAGGAAUCUGAGGUGGGAGGAUCGCUUGAGCCCAGGAGCAUGAGGCUGCAGUGAGCGGUGAUCGCGUCACUGCGCUCCAGCCUGGGCGACAGAGUGGGACUCUUGUCUCCAAAAUAAUUCAAAAAUGGGGUGUAAUCUUCAAAAUCUCCUUGGAGUUAAUGCCACCCAGAGGGUACUCAAAUUGCUGUCAGUGUCCCGGGGCUGCAGUGGCUGCAGGUGUUUUCCAAGUGUUCUGGGAAGCCCUGGUGGCUGCAGAGGCACCUGAGGGGCCACCACAGGCGGGAGCGGAGAAGGAACUCUGGGUGCCCAUCCCCCUCCUGAGUGACCACAGCGGCUGCAUUUGUUAACUGGAAGUAAAAUUAAGCCUAAAGAAUUCCAUGGCUAAGAACAUCUGAAAGCCUUCCAUGCUAUUAAAUAUUUAUUUUAUUGUUCAUCCUGGACUCCAUAGGCAGAUGCUUUAAAAAAACAAACAAACUGAUCUUUUGGAAGAGUUCUAACUCCAACUCUUCACACAGUGGUAGUGGAAAUACUAUGGGUUUGGGAUUGAACUUGAGUUUUCAUCCAAGCUCUGCUCUGUGAUACUGAGCACAGUGGGCCCAGCCCCGUGACUCUUUAGAGCCUGUUUCUUCAUCUGCAAAUGGCGGCUGUCAUCUGCCUCCCAGGUUUGCUGUGAGGACUGAAGGAAUUCACAUACACAAAGGCCUGAUAGCGUCUACCUGCAGGAGGCUCCUAAUAAACGUUGAGUUCACUUCCUUAAUGAGGUAUAUUUACUUACAUGGUAAUCAGCACCUGCCCCUUCCUUCGCAAAUACAUUCCCACUUUUUUAGGAUUUAUUAUUUCACCCAGCCGUGUGCAUCAUGGAAAGCUGACCUCAUCCCAAGCUCCAGGAAAUAAAACCCUGAUGAUUUGAAGCCAUUCUUCCUUACUAUGAUUGGCUUAGGAGUGGGCAGGUAGCCCAGUUCUGACCAACAAUAUGUGAGUCAGCUGGAGAAGCCUGUGGGAAAGGCUUUCUUGCGCCUCUUCCCAGACAAAACCAGGUCCAGCUGCUUGUUCUCAUGGUCCAAUAACAAGCUGCAGACAGAGUGGGGAAGAAGGGAGUUUAUUUCUGGUUACAGGGAGAAGGUCAGAGUAACUCACCAGACUAAUUUAAAAUUAUAAGUUUUUUUUCAGUGCUUAUACACAUUUAAACCAUAUGCCUAUGUGCAGGAGUACACCUCCAAGCUGAAGUAUAUUCCUCUGUUUAAUCUUUCACUAGGGUCUGGGGUCUGGAAAAUUACUUCAGAGCCUUGAAACAAUUACUUCAUUUUUUUUCUUUCUUAUUUUAGAGGGAGGGUCUCACUAUGUUGCCCAGGCUGGUCUUGAACUCCUGGGCUCAAGCGACCCUCCUCCCUCAGCCUCCCAAAGUGCUGGGAUUGCGGGCGUGAGCCGCUGCUCCUGGCCCAAUUACUUAAUUUAAAGUGGAUCAUGGUACAAGGUCCACAAGAACGCCUCCAUUAUUUUAAUUAAACUCUAAGGUCUGGGAGAAAGCCCAGGUGGGGUCUUAAUCGACUUGUUUUUACACUCUAGCCUUUGUAUUAAGGCACCAGUUUCUCCAAUUUUCCUCGUUUAAUUUAUAUAUUCCUCAGAGUUAUAGUAAGGUGUUGGUGAGGCUGGCUGCUCUGGUUGCUAAGAGAGACCCGGCCUGCCACACUCCUAAGAGACACAGAAGACCAGCCUACCCUUCCCUUGCCUCCCGUGACACUGCCCUGCAGGUGGCUGGCCAAGAGAAGCCUGCCCGGCGACGCUGAGGCACCGAACAUGAGCAGGGGAGGAAGGAAUGCCUGGGAGCAGCUGAGCCGAGCCCCUGCCACCAGCCUCCUCCGCACGCCCGUGGAAUCAGCACUUUCUGCUUCCCGCCCCUGAGAGCCUUGCUCUGGGGCCACUCACAGCCAAUUAAGUGGGGAUGUUGUAAGAGACUCUAAAAUACGUGGAGCUGGCUGAGGACGCGGGACCGACCCCAUUAUGUGUGUGUGAGGCUGAUUAAAGUGUUACCUGUCACCAGGUGUCGCCAAUUCUUGGUGAAGCUCUCUCCAUGUGACCUCCAUGCUACUUAUUUUUUAUUUUAUUGUUCAUCCUGGACUCCAAAGGCUGAUGCUAUUUUUUUUUUUAAUGUGAUCUUUUGGAAGAGUUCUAACUGCAACUCUUCACAUAGUGGUAGUAGAAUAUACCAUGGGUAUUAAAAACUAAAGCAUUUCUUAAUCUGUGGGGUCCAGAUUAGGAAGACAUGUAUUAGGAAAAUGAUUACUUUAAAAAAAAUAAAAAAUUCAGGCCAGGCAUAGUGGCUCACGCCUGUAAUCCCAGCACUUUGGGAGGCUGAGGCAGGUGGAUCACCUGAGGUCAGGAGUUCAAGACCAGCCUGGCCGACAUGGUGAAACCCCGUCUCUACCAAAAAUACAAAAAUUAGCUGGUUGUGGUCACAUAUGCUUGUAAUUCCAGCUACUUGGGAGGCUGAGACAGGAGAAUCGCUUGAACCCGGGAGGCAGAGGUUGCAGUGAGCGGAGAUCUCACCACUGCACUCCAGGCUGGGUGACAGAGUGAGGCUCUGUCUCAAAAAAAAAAAAAAAAAAGAAAAGAAAAAAAAAUCAGAACCACUGAAUUGUACAUUUAAAAAAGGAAGAAAAGAAAAAUCCAGGAUGUCAGCACUGUGCUGGCCGCUUCCUGGGGCCCUCAGUGAGUUCCUUUAAAAGACAGGCUUAGGGUGACAGAGGCCAGCCUGGAAAUGGACAGGAAACGCCAGCCUUUCCGCUGCGGUCCAACUUGGGCUGACGCCCUCAUCGCAACAGGAGAGCCCUGCAGGGUUGAGGCAGGAGGGUGACCGGCGUUAGUCUUCAUUGUAAGAUUGCAGGUCCCUCUACAUGGGAGCGAGUUGGGCCAGGGCAGAGGCACAGAGCAACAUAGACUACAACUGGUCCAGGAGGCAGAACGGUGGAGGGUCGCGGGCGGGUGGGUGGUGCACCCUGGAGGCCGCGUGGAGCUUCCCAGUGAACUGGCAUGAAGAAAAGUAUCACAGCCCGAUGGUGGUGCUGUUUCUGGAGGUGGGGAAGGGUGCGUGGAGGAGCCAGCCAGGCUCGGAAGGAAAUCAGGGGCUGCAUGUGGGACAUGGCAGGGCUGAGAUGUCACGAAGACAGCAAAUGGAGUGAUCGACUGGCGACCUUGGCGUUUGAGUGGGAAGCCCCCCUCCCUCCACCUAACCUACCUCUCAGCCCACGCCACUAGGGAUAAAACACACACAGGUCCCCAGUGAGGAGGAUCGCAGGGGACGGCACCUCCUGGGCCCUCAUGGAGAACCUGUCCCUUAAGUAGGCCAGGCAGAGGGAGAGCCCCUGCCGGCUAAGGGAGCCCUGCCCCCCACACCAGCCCAGCUGUGCAGAGGUGCCUUGGCCAGGGGCGUGCGUGUAGCACUGUCUUCAUGUCUGGGCAAGGAGCUGGAGGAACCCUGCCUGCCUCGGUUCAGACGUCUCUACCGCACCCACUCACUGCAAAUGUAGAGUGAUCAGCUUCCAGGCUCUCGGUGUACCCCACAUUGCUAAAGCCAGGGGUUCAGGGUGACUAGGAAGGACUGAAGGGCAAGGAUCAGACUUGAAAAACAUGUUAAAUUGCUAAUAGUCUGAUUCUAGGGGUGUCAAAGUCCCUUUGUGAUACAGUGAGUUGCUCCCAGACACAGACCAAAUGCCACUACAGGACGGAAGCUGGGCAGGCAGCGUGACAGUGACCAGCUUCCCAGGCAGGAAGGUCCCACGGGGGUGCUGCACUGCCUUAAGUUUAUUAAGCUGUGUCUGAGUCCACCAUGCGACGUCUCUGCCCUCAUGCCUGGGCUGCUAAAGGAAAAAUACCAGCUAAAAGGAUGGUGUUUGAUGUCAACUGGGAGGGUGCUGCCCGGCACACCUGUGUUUUCCGUCACCUUCCACUCCAUUCCCUUCUAUGUCCAUCCCAAACGCUAAACCCAGCACUUUGGGAGACUGAGGCAGGUGGACAGCUUGAGCCCAGGAGUUUCAGACCAGCCUGGGCAACAGAGCGACACCUCAUCUCUACAAAAAAUAAGCAAAAAUUAGCCGGGCAUGGUGGCAUGCACCUGUAGUCCCAGCUACUUGAGGGGCUGAGGUGGGAGGGUCACCUGGGCCUGGAGGUCAAGGCUACAGUGAACUGUCACUGCACCACUGCACUCCAGCCUGAGUGACAGAGUAAGACCCUGUCUCAAAAAAACCAGAAAAUUAUUGGGUGAGAGCAACCUAAACUUCCUCCCUAACCACUUACAACGUACCCCUUUCUCCUUCAUCUCUCCCGUCCCAAUCCCUCUCAUCUGGCUUCCAUCUCUCCUCUCUGAAUUUGCUUCCUCUCAACACAUAACCCUGCACAAACCUCUCUCGUUUUAAAAGCAAAAACCCCUCCCUAAGGCCACGUCAUCCCCUAUCCACUUCUUGCCUCUUGCCAGCCUUGCUUUCUGAGAACUAGUCUACGUGGUGUCCGUAUCUUCACCUCCCACUGGUAUUUUAUGGUUCUAUCAUACAGACACAUAGUUUAGAGCCAACAGUUAUGUAAGACACCUACCAAAAAGCUCCUCCACCUGCCCGUUCCCCCUCCCAAAAGGAAACUUUUAGAAAUCUUUCUGCUGAGUGUCUCGGUGUGUGUUAUGCAUCUCCAAGAUAUCUCUAAAUGAUGGGCUCACAUGGGCUUCUGCUUCCAUGUUUGAGUUUCAGGCACUGUGACUGACUUCCUGCCGCAGAGGCUAAGAUUCGGCUCGUUCACUCCACAUGUGCACACAGCUCCUACCUGCAGAACACGCCCACCCUUAUGAAGGCCAUGAAAGCAGGUACACUCCACUGAGCUGGUGGUGGGGGGGGUCAAUUACAGUUCUCUCCUACACAACCUGUCGCCUUCCAGAGGACUAAUCAUUGCCUUUUUCCCCCCAGGCUACGUCCUGCGCUCUGUCACCCAGGCUGUGGUGGUCAGUGGUGCAAUCAUGGCUCACAGCAGCCUCAACCUCCCAGGCUCAAGCCAUCCUCCUGCCCCAGCCUCCCAAGUAGCUGGGAACAAGGCAUGCGCCACCACACCUAAUUUUUUAUACUUUUUGUAGAGAUGGGGUCUGCCUAUGUGGCCCAGGUUGGUCUUGAACUCCUGGGCUCAAACAAUCCUCCCACCUCAGCUUCCCAAAGUGCUGUGAUCACAGGUGUGAGCCACCACGCCCGGCCAAUGUGGGCCUAUUUUCACCCAUUGUCCUGGGCAUUUAAUGAGUCAUUUCAAUCCAGAAACCCUUACCAUCAGUUUCAGGUAAUUUUCAUAAUUAAAAAAAAUGUUUCGGCCAGGUGCGGUGGCUCACGCCUGUAAUCCCAGCACUUUGGGAGGCCGAGGUGGGCAGAUCACGAGGUCAGAAAAUCGAGACCAUCCUGGCCAACACAGUGAAACCCCAUCUCUA